AGGCGUGGACGCUGUGCUGGAAUCUCACCAAAAGGCUCCCUUGUAAGGGCCGUUCCGGUGCAGCGCUUCUUCGUCACCCGACGCAUUUGUUUCCCGUCCGAGAGGACGCCGGAACCGGUUGGGAGACGGCCUUAAGGGCGAGAGCCGGCAGGUGGCCGCUGGUGUUAGCCUCGUGCUUCAUCGGCGGUUGUUAGCCUUCUCGUCGCACGGCUCGUAGCCCGACCGUGGUGUCGCGAGGCCCCUCAGACGGGCCUCUCCGCCUCCUCCUGUAAAAGGUUGCCGGGACAGGUGCGGCAGCAGUUCGACUCCCUGCGGGCGCACGGACCGACUCCGUGGCCCAGCGUCGAGAUCGUCUGCGUUGGCUGCACGGGACCCGUUGGAGUGCUGGCGGUUUUCGGCGAGUAGAUCGGUCACCCACCUGACCCGUCUUGAAACACGGACCAAGGAGUCUAACAUGUGUGCGAGUCAAUGGGACUCGAAUAAGCCCAGAGGCGCAAUGAAAGCAAAGGCCGGAUUGACUCCGGCCGGUUUGGGAUCCCCGCUCUAAUCACGGGCGGGGCGCACCAAAGACCCGCCCUAUUCCCCUCGUGGAUUGGGCGGAGUCCGAGCAUACACGUUGGGACCCGAAAGAUGGUGAACUAUGCCCGGGCAGGACGAAGCC
rnacentral:rRNA from 1 species